CAGCCCCUCGAGUGGUGGGGAUGAUUAUUUGGCCUAAAGCGUCCGUAGCCGGCCGAGCAAGUCUUCCGUUAAAUCCAGCGUCUCAAGCGUUGGACCGCGGGAGAUACUACACGGCUAGAGAGUGGGAGAGGUCAGCGGUAUUCUGGGGGUAGGGGCGAAAUCCUUUGAUCCCCGGAGGACCACCAGUGGCGAAGGCUGCUGACUAGAACACGUCUGACGGUCAGGGACGAAAGCUGGGGUAGCGAACCGGAUUAGAGACCCGAGUAGCC
rnacentral:rRNA from 1 species